rnacentral:rRNA from 1 species
GAUGAACGCUGGCGGCGUGCCUAAUACAUGCAAGUCGAGCGAACAGACGAGGAGCUUGCUCCUCUGACGUUAGCGGCGGACGGGUGAGUAACACGUGGAUAACCUACCUAUAAGACUGGGAUAACUUCGGGAAACCGGAGCUAAUACCGGAUAAUAUCUUGAACCGCAUGGUUCAAUAGUGAAAGACGGUUUUGCUGUCACUUAUCGAUGGAUCCGCGCCGCAUUAGCUAGUUGGUAAGGUAAAGGGUUACCAAGGCGACUAUGCGUAGGCGACCUGAGUGGGUGAUCGGCCACACUGGAGCGGAGACACGGUCCAGGCUCCUACGGGAGGCAGCAGUAGGGAAUCUUCCGCAGUGGGGGAAAGCCUGACGGAGCAACGCCGCGUGAGUGAUGAAGGUCUUCGGAUCGUAAAACUCUGUUAUUAGGGAAGAACAGAUGUGUAAGUAACUGUGCACGUCUUGACGGUACCUAGUCAGAAAGCCACGGCUAACUACGUG